GUUGACAAGCGUAGCACUGAGAAUGCAACAUCUGUGAUUUGUUUGAAGGAUGCUGUCUGAGUUACUGUGUGCAUGUUGGCUUUGACGGCAUUUCUUCCAUUAGACACUGGUUGCUUACUGUUGAAUGUUGACAUCUUGUUCUAAUUAUUUCCAUUUCUCCUGCAUUGGUAUUUAGCUUCAUAGGUUCUGUGGACACAUUUCUCUGGUCCUUUUACAAGUUUCAUCUCCGUUUUUUGUUUCUCUUUUUUAUCAGGAAGAUGCGGAAGCAGGUGAGGAUGAGGAAGAUUAGUCCAUCUCCUGAAUUGGGGGCACCGCCAAGUCACUUUUGCUAUUAACUUAAAGAGUUGGUUGCUUCAGAAGAUGAAGGUCCCAACAUGGACAGAUCUUCAUCAAGGAUUUUCAUUAAAGCAGAAAGGUCUCCUGCAAAUGUACAAGAGGUUCUUGGGAUCCAAUUCCAUUCGAAUCAGAUUGGGGUAAAAGGGUCAUUUUCUUCUUUUUUUUCAAUUGUUUUAUGGUUGUAAAUACAUUACAAGUAUUUUAUGAACAGACACAUCCAAUGCCCAAGCAUUUUAUAAGAAUAUUUCUUUUUUUU
rnacentral:lncRNA from 1 species